rnacentral:rRNA from 1 species
ACUCGAGUGGCGAACGGGUGAGUAACACGUGGGUGAUCUGCCCUGCACUUCGGGGUAAGCUUGGGAAACUGGGUCUAAUACCGGAUAGGAGCCAUCUUUAGUGUGGUGGUUGGAAAGUUUUUCGGUGUAGGAUGAGCUCGCGGCCUAUCAGCUUGUUGGUGGGGUAAUGGCCUACCAAGGCGGCGACGGGUAGCCGGCCUGAGAGGUUGGUCGGCCACAUUGGGACUGAGAUACGGCCCAG